GGGCUCGCAGGCGGUUUCUUAAGUCUGAUGUGAAAGCCCCCGGCUCAACCGGGGAGGGUCAUUGGAAACUGGGGAACUUGAGUGCAGAAGAGGAGAGUGGAAUUCCACGUGUAGCGGUGAAAUGCGUAGAGAUGUGGAGGAACACCAGUGGCGAAGGCGACUCUCUGGUCUGUAACUGACGCUGAGGAGCGAAAGCGUGGGGAGCGAACAGGAUUAGAUACCCUGGUAGUCCACGCCGUAAACGAUGAGUGCUAAGUGUUAGGGGGUUUCCGCCCCUUAGUGCUGCAGCUAACGCAUUAAGCACUCCGCCUGGGGAGUACGGUCGCAAGACUGAAACUCAAAGGAAUUGACGGGGGCCCGCACAAGCGGUGGAGCAUGUGGUUUAAUUCGAAGCAACGCGAAGAACCUUACCAGGUCUUGACAUCCUCUGACAAUCCUAGAGAUAGGACGUCCCCUUCGGGGGCAGAGUGACAGGUGGUGCAUGGUUGUCGUCAGCUCGUGUCGUGAGAUGUUGGGUUAAGUCCCGCAACGAGCGCAACCCUUGAUCUUAGUUGCCAGCAUUCAGUUGGGCACUCUAAGGUGACUGCCGGUGACAAACCGGAGGAAGGUGGGGAUGACGUCAAAUCAUCAUGCCCCUUAUGACCUGGGCUACACACGUGCUACAAUGGACAGAACAAAGGGCAGCGAAACCGCGAGGUUAAGCCAAUCCCACAAAUCUGUUCUCAGUUCGGAUCGCAGUCUGCAACUCGACUGCGUGAAGCUGGAAUCGCUAGUAAUCGCGGAU
rnacentral:rRNA from 1 species